rnacentral:misc_RNA from 1 species
GAUGAAGAACGCAACGAAAUGCGAUACGUAAUGUGAAUUGCAGAAUUCAGUGAAUCAUCGAAUCUUUGAACGCACAUUGCGCCUGCCAGCACUCUGGCAGGCAUGCCUGUUCGAGCGUCAUUUCAACCAUCAAGCCCUAGGCUUGCGUUGGAGCCCUGCGGCUGCCGCAGGCCCCUAAAAGCAGUGGCGGGCUCGCUAUCACACCGAGUGCAGUAGAUUACUCUUCGCUCAGGGCGUGUGGCGGGUUCCAGCCGUGAAACCCCCUACUUCUCAAGGUUGACCUCGGAUCAGGUAGGAAUACCCGCUGAACUUAAGCAUAUCAAUAAGCGGAGGA